rnacentral:tRNA from 1 species
GACCUCCCUCAACCGCGGCCGAUUAUCAGAUUCCUAAUCUGGGGGCCGGUGGUUCAAAUCCACCCGGGGUCGCCA